AACGCUGGCGGCANGCCUAACACAUGCAAGUCGAACGGUAACAUUUCUAGCUUGCUAGAAGAUGACGAGUGGCGGACGGGUGAGUAAUACUUAGGAAUAUGCCUUUGUGUGGGGGAUAACUAUUGGAAACGAUAGCUAAUACCGCAUAACGUCUUCGGACCAAAGGGGGCUUCGGCUCCCGCGCAAAGAGUAGCCUAAGCGAGAUUAGCUUGUUGGUGAGGUAAAGGCUCACCAAGGCGACGAUCUCUAGCUGUUCUGAGAGGAAGAUCAGCCACACUGGAACUGAGACACGGUCCAGACUCCUACGGGAGGCAGCAGUG
rnacentral:rRNA from 1 species